AGAAAUAAGGUUUGUUUAAUUGCACCCUUGAAAGGGCUGUUUAGUUGGAUUGCAUGUAGGAAUACAAAUUAUUCCACACAAAAAAUUAUCAUAAGCCAUAAUGAGGUUUAAAAUGUUUAUUACUCAGACAGUAGUGUGACUAAUUUGUUCCCCAAACACUGCUGCUGCAGGCGGCUGCUGCUGGAGGCGAUGACUGCUUGAGCUGGCUGAUGUUGGCGAAGGAUGGUGAUGGCGGCUGCUGCUUGUGACGGCUGCUGAUAAUGUUGGCCACUGCUGGCGCUGGCAGCUGGUGGCGGCUGGUGCUGGCCAUGGCUGCUGGUGGCGACUGCUGACUGCUGGAAUAAGAGGAGACUGGAGGCUGUGGAGACUGCGGACGGUGUGCCGGGAAUGGAGUGGCCGAGUACAUCCAUGGCAACCAGUAAGGUGUUCGUUAGUGGCCUAGAUGGUAUGACCUUAGGUGAGGAGGUCUGCUGUGUGGAAAUCGCCUUCUUGGUCUGACUCUUGCUGCCAAGGUACCCCUUAUUACGGCUGUUUGCCUUCCUCUCAUCUCCGAUGCACUUUGAGUGAAUCCUUAACCUCAGCCUGAUAUAUGUUGAAAGGUUUAUUUUUUUCAGCUCAUGGCAUGAGGGAAGGUUGCUGUCCAGACUCAUGGCCUCUCUUUCCAGCUGUUCCACUACGUUGGAGGAUUCCAUAAGGGAAUCACUCGUCUGGGAACGGAAGAGGUGCUCCACGUGCUGCAGGAGAGUGAACAGCUCAUCGCAUGGCCGUGCACAUUGGCAUUCCUCACAGAGCGAGAAGCUGAUGACCCUCUUCGCUAUGUAUCCUGCCAGGUGGUAGAGGACACAAGACUCGGUCUUUGUGAGGUCAGGUGGGAGCUCCACUCUCACAACCUCAGAAGCACUGCAGUUGCUGUUCUUGUUGUCCAAGAAGUCUGCCAAGUGGUCUGAUGCAUCAUCCAGAUCUUGCUGGACCAGCAGUAUCGUUGUUGUGGCCAUCACAGGUUUCAGUGGAGCGCCCCCCCCCCAAAAUAAAAUGGUUACGAUACCUGUUCUUAACGCCUGUUUACACAUUUGUUGUUCUUGUUCACACAUACUGUACGUAUGUUUGUUGAUAUUAUUCAUGCUUGUUCCCAUUUU